rnacentral:rRNA from 1 species
GUCGCAAGACCAAAGUGGGGGACCUUCGGGCCUCAUGCCAUCAGAUGUGCCCAGAUGGGAUUAGCUAGUAGGUGGGGUAACGGCUCACCUAGGCGACGAUCCCUAGCUGGUCUGAGAGGAUGACCAGCCACACUGGAACUGAGACACGGUCCAGACUCCUACGGGAGGCAGCAGUGGGGAAUAUUGCACAAUGGGCGCAAGCCUGAUGCAGCCAUGCCGCGUGUGUGAAGAAGGCCUUCGGGUUGUAAAGCACUUUCAGCGGGGAGGAAGGCGGUGAGGUUAAUAACCUCAUCGAUUGACGUUACCCGCAGAAGAAGCACCGGCUAACUCCGUGCCAGCAGCCGCGGUAAUACGGAGGGUGCAAGCGUUAAUCGGAAUUACUGGGCGUAAAGCGCACGCAGGCGGUCUGUCAAGUCGGAUGUGAAAUCCCCGGGCUCAACCUGGGAACUGCAUUCGAAACUGGCAGGCUAGAGUCUUGUAGAGGGGGGUAGAAUUCCAGGUGUAGCGGUGAAAUGCGUAGAGAUCUGGAGGAAUACCGGUGGCGAAGGCGGCCCCCUGGACAAAGACUGACGCUCAGGUGCGAAAGCGUGGGGAGCAAACAGGAUUAGAUACCCUGGUAGUCCACGCCGUAAACGAUGUCGAUUUGGAGGUUGUGCCCUUGAGGCGUGGCUUCCGGAGCUAACGCGUUAAAUCGACCGCCUGGGGAGUACGGCCGCAAGGUUAAAACUCAAAUGAAUUGACGGGGGCCCGCACAAGCGGUGGAGCAUGUGGUUUAAUUCGAUGCAACGCGAAGAACCUUACCUGGUCUUGACAUCCACAGAACUUUCCAGAGAUGGAUUGGUGCCUUCGGGAACUGUGAGACAGGUGCUGCAUGGCUGUCGUCAGCUCGUGUUGUGAAAUGUUGGGUUAAGUCCCGCAACGAGCGCAACCCUUAUCCUUUGUUGCCAGCGGUCCGGCCGGGAACUCAAAGGAGACUGCCAGUGAUAAACUGGAGGAAGGUGGGGAUGACGUCAAGUCAUCAUGGCCCUUACGACCAGGGCUACACACGUGCUACAAUGGCAUAUACAAAGAGAAGCGACCUCGCGAGAGCAAGCGGACCUCAUAAAGUAUGUCGUAGUCCGGAUUGGAGUCUGCAACUCGACUCCAUGAAGUCGGAAUCGCUAGUAAUCGUAGAUCAGAAUGCUACGGUGAAUACGUUCCCGGGCCUUGUACACACCGCCCGUCACACCAUGGGAGUGGGUUGCAAAAGAAGUAGGUAGCUUAACCUUCGGGAGGGCGCUUACCACUUUGUGAUUCAUGACUGGGGUGAAGUCGUAACAAGGUAACCGUAGGGGAACCUGCGGUUGGAUCACCUCCUUACCUUAAAGAA